UCGAGCCGCUGGCGGCGUGCCUAAUACAUGCAAGUCGAGCGGACAGAUGGGAGCUUGCUCCCUGAUGUUAGCGGCGGACGGGUGAGUAACACGUGGGUAACCUGCCUGUAAGACUGGGAUAACUCCGGGAAACCGGGGCUAAUACCGGAUGCUUGUUUGAACCGCAUGGUUCAAACAUAAAAGGUGGCUUCGGCUACCACUUACAGAUGGACCCGCGGCGCAUUAGCUAGUUGGUGAGGUAAUGGCUCACCAAGGCAACGAUGCGUAGCCGACCUGAGAGGGUGAUCGGCCACACUGGGACUGAGACACGGCCCAGACUCCUACGGGAGGCAGCAGUAGGGAAUCUUCCGCAAUGGACGAAAGUCUGACGGAGCAACGCCGCGUGAGUGAUGAAGGUUUUCGGAUCGUAAAGCUCUGUUGUUAGGGAAGAACAAGUACCGUUCGAAUAGGGCGGUACCUUGACGGUACCUAACCAGAAAGCCACGGCUAACUACGUGCCAGCAGCCGCGGUAAUA
rnacentral:rRNA from 1 species